UACAGAGGAGCCAAGCGUUGUCCGGAUUGACUGGGCGUAAAGCGCACGGCAGGCGGCACCGCGCGUGGGGUGUGAAAUCGUGGCCGCUUAACGGCCAGGCGCCAUCCCGAAUACGGCGGAGCUGGAGUGAUGCAGAGGUCGAUGGAAUUGCCGGUGUAGUGGUGAAAUGCGUAGGAGAUCGGCAGGGAACACCCAGGGGGAAACCAGUCGACUGG
rnacentral:rRNA from 1 species